ACUAUCGUUAACUGAAUACAUAGGUUAACGAGGCGAACCGGGGGAACUGAAACAUCUAAGUACCCCGAGGAAAAGAAAUCAACCGAGAUUCCCCCAGUAGCGGCGAGCGAACGGGGAGCAGCCCAGAGUCUGAAUCAGCUUGUGUGUUAGUGGAACGGUCUGGAAAGUCCGACGGUACAGGGUGAUAGUCCCGUACACCAAAAUGCACAGGCUGUGAACUCGAAGAGUAGGGCGGGACACGUGGUAUCCUGUCUGAAUAUGGGGGGACCAUCCUCCAAGGCUAAAUACUCCUGACUGACCGAUAGUGAACCAGUACCGUGAGGGAAAGGCGAAAAGAACCCCGGCGAGGGGAGUGAAAAAGAACCUGAAACCGUGUACGUACAAGCAGUGGGAGCACCUUCGGGUGUGACUGCGUACCUUUUGUAUAAUGGGUCAGCGACUUAUAUUCUGUAGCAAGGUUAACCGUAUAGGGGAGCCGCAGGGAAACCGAGUCUUAACUGGGCGUUAAGUUGCAGGGUAUAGACCCGAAACCCGGUGAUCUAGCCAUGGGCAGGUUGAAGGUUGGGUAACACUAACUGGAGGACCGAACCGACUAAUGUUGAAAAAUUAGCGGAUGACUUGUGGCUGGGGGUGAAAGGCCAAUCAAACCGGGAGAUAGCUGGUUCUCCCCGAAAGCUAUUUAGGUAGCGCCUCGUGAACUCAUCUUCGGGGGUAGAGCACUGUUUCGGCUAGGGGGUCAUCCCGACUUACCAACCCGAUGCAAACUACGAAUACCGAAGAAUGUUAUCACGGGAGACACACGGCGGGUGCUAACGUCCGUCGUGAAGAGGGAAACAACCCAGACCGCCAGCUAAGGUCCCAAAGUCAUGGUUAAGUGGGAAACGAUGUGGGAAGGCACAGACAGCCAGGAUGUUGGCUUAGAAGCAGCCAUCAUUUAAAGAAAGCGUAAUAGCUCACUGGUCGAGUCGGCCUGCGCGGAAGAUGUAACGGGGCUAAACCAUGCACCGAAGCUGCGGCAGCGACACUAUGUGUUGUUGGGUAGGGGAGCGUUCUGUAAGCCUGCGAAGGUGACCUGUGAGGGUUGCUGGAGGUAUCAGAAGUGCGAAUGCUGACAUAAGUAACGAUAAAGCGGGUGAAAAGCCCGCUCGCCGGAAGACCAAGGGUUCCUGUCCAACGUUAAUCGGGGCAGGGUGAGUCGACCCCUAAGGCGAGGCCGAAAGGCGUAGUCGAUGGGAAACAGGUUAAUAUUCCUGUACUUGGUGUUACUGCGAAGGGGGGACGGAGAAGGCUAUGUUAGCCGGGCGACGGUUGUCCCGGUUUAAGCAUGUAGGCUGGUUGUCCAGGCAAAUCCGGAUAAUCAAGGCUGAGGUGUGAUGACGAGGCACUACGGUGCUGAAGUAACAAAUGCCCUGCUUCCAGGAAAAGCCUCUAAGCAUCAGGUAACAUCAAAUCGUACCCCAAACCGACACAGGUGGUCAGGUAGAGAAUACCAAGGCGCUUGAGAGAACUCGGGUGAAGGAACUAGGCAAAAUGGUGCCGUAACUUCGGGAGAAGGCACGCUGGUGUGUAGGUGAAGUCCCUGCGGAUGGAGCUGAGACCAGUCGAAGAUACCAGCUGGCUGCAACUGUUUAUUAAAAACACAGCACUGUGCAAACACGAAAGUGGACGUAUACGGUGUGACGCCUGCCCGGUGCCGGAAGGUUAAUUGAUGGGGUUAUCCGUAAGGAGAAGCUCUUGAUCGAAGCCCCGGUAAACGGCGGCCGUAACUAUAACGGUCCUAAGGUAGCGAAAUUCCUUGUCGGGUAAGUUCCGACCUGCACGAAUGGCGUAAUGAUGGCCAGGCUGUCUCCACCCGAGACUCAGUGAAAUUGAACUCGCUGUGAAGAUGCAGUGUACCCGCGGCAAGACGGAAAGACCCCGUGAACCUUUACUAUAGCUUGACACUGAACAUUGAGCCUUGAUGUGUAGGAUAGGUGGGAGGCUUUGAAGCGUGGACGCCAGUCUGCGUGGAGCCAACCUUGAAAUACCACCCUUUAAUGUUUGAUGUUCUAACGUUGGCCCCUUAUCGGGGUUGCGGACAGUGUCUGGUGGGUAGUUUGACUGGGGCGGUCUCCUCCCAAAGCGUAACGGAGGAGCACGAAGGUUAGCUAAUCCUGGUCGGACAUCAGGAGGUUAGUGCAAUGGCAUAAGCUAGCUUGACUGCGAGCGUGACGGCGCGAGCAGGUGCGAAAGCAGGUCAUAGUGAUCCGGUGGUUCUGAAUGGAAGGGCCAUCGCUCAACGGAUAAAAGGUACUCCGGGGAUAACAGGCUGAUACCGCCCAAGAGUUCAUAUCGACGGCGGUGUUUGGCACCUCGAUGUCGGCUCAUCACAUCCUGGGGCUGAAGUAGGUCCCAAGGGUAUGGCUGUUCGCCAUUUAAAGUGGUACGCGAGCUGGGUUUAGAACGUCGUGAGACAGUUCGGUCCCUAUCUGCCGUGGGCGCUGGAGAAUUGAGGGGGGCUGCUCCUAGUACGAGAGGACCGGAGUGGACGCAUCACUGGUGUUCGGGUUGUCAUGCCAAUGGCACUGCCCGGUAGCUAAAUGCGGAAGAGAUAAGUGCUGAAAGCAUCUAAGCACGAAACUUGCCCCGAGAUGAGUUCU
rnacentral:rRNA from 1 species